rnacentral:rRNA from 1 species
AUUGAACGCUGGCGGCAGGCCUAACACAUGCAAGUCGAACGAGUGGCGGACGGGUGAGUAAUGUCUGGGCAACUGCCCGAUGGAGGGGGAUAACUACUGGAAACGGUAGCUAAUACCGCAUACCAUCGGAUGUGCCCAGAUGGGAUGAGCUAGUAGGUGGGGUAAAGGCUCACCUAGGUGACGAUCCCUAGCUGGUCUGAGAGGAUGACCAGCAACACUGGAAUUGAGACACGGUCCAGACGCCUACGGGAGGCAGCAGUGGGGAAUAUUGCACAAGGGGCGCAAGCCGGAGGAAGCCAUGCCGCGUGGAUGAAGAAGGCCUUCGGGUUUUAAAGUACUUUCAGCGGGGAGGCGUUACCCGCAGAAGAAGCACCGGCUAACUCCGUGCCAGCCGCCGCGGUAAUAC